rnacentral:lncRNA from 1 species
UUUUUUUUUUAUUAAAUAUUGUUAUUGGUUUUCUUGGAAAAAAAAACCCGCAAUAAUUAUGCACCAACCCAAUAGUCUGAUGUCACCCAUUAACUGAAUCGAAUAAAUUAUAUGUCGAUAAAAUAAUACCAGUAUUCUACCGACAUCAUAGUAGUAGAUUUUUUCUACGCUGUUUGAAUGGCAUCUUAAAAAUUACAAAACAGAAAUUAAUUGAAAAAGUUAUAGUAGAAAUAAUAUGCCUCCACAUUAAUAUCUUUAACAUUGUCUAUAAAAAUAAUAUAAUACUAAGAGCGAAGAAGCUACAUUAAUCUUUAUUAUUUCUCUUGUCAUAAUUAAUAUUGGAUAAUUUAAUUUAAUUCACAUUAUGUAUUCUUAUUUUGAGUCUCGUCAAACUAAGUCUGUCACUCGAAGGCAAGUAUGACUUAAUAGCGUGUAUUAUGCGUCCUUUUCUUUUUUUUUAUUAUGAAUAACUAUUUAGCCACGAACAGGCUUAGAUAAAAAUCACUGACGCAAUUUUCAGUUCAAUAUUGAAAAUUCAAAGUAUAGCUGGAGUGAGAAAUGACUGAAUUAGUACUGGGCUGGCACUCAUAUUUCAGUUGCGUGAAUCGGAAACACGUGUGUAAGAAUCGAACUCUCGACCUUAAUAUUGUGAGCACAACACACUGACAAUAUGGUCAUGAACGCUCAUAGAGGCCCAAUAUAGAGAUUUAAUAUGCUGUUGAUUCUGACUAGAGUAUGCCGUUACACGAACAAAAACUCAGCACACACCAUUGAUAUAUAAAAUAUAUCGGAAUGCAAGAAAAAAUAUAAAGUCUUUAUAUAUGGUAUUCAUGAAGACAAUCCAUUUUACAUGAUGUAAUGAUUACUAAUCAAUAUAUAGCAACAAAAUUUACAAAAAUACACGGAGAAUCACUGUAUUUUAUGUAUCUUUGUGAUGCUAUACAUAUCUUAGAAGACGUCACUCUUCACAAAAUUGUAGCGAUUUCUAUUGAUAUAAAUUUCUAUUGAGAUUAUUGCUCUUCAUAAUAUCAUUGAUAUUUCUAUCGAAACUCAUAUUCUCUAUGAUUAUGUAAAUACUUAAUGAUAGGCAAAUUGUUUUCCAUUGGGACAUCCGUACCAAUGCUUGUUGUGUUGACCCCAAUCAAAAUACUCCAUACUAUAUCAAUUUAUUAAGUGAUUAACUCUAUUUUCCAAAAGAUCAUAUUUUAAUUUAAUGUAGAUUCAGUAUACGCAGAGAUUCUACAUUUGUAUUGAACGUGGCUGCUUGGAUAAUUUUAUGAUUUUAGGGGCUUGGUCGAAUGUAAACUAAACAUCAUGCAUAAGCCUUUUUUGUUGGAUAGUAUAUUUCUCAGUGCUUUCGUUGCUUUGAUAUCGACCAGUAUUUUCUUACGAUACUGUAUAAAAUAUUAUUUCCUCAUCGUUUUUUAUUUAAAUGGAUGAUUUCAUGGUGGUACAUUGGACCGUCUGGGUAAUCUGGUAGGUCCAUACAUUUGCACUGUACUGUUAAAGACGCCAUAUAUGUAAAUACACCAGCUCUUUGUUUCUGAAUACGUCGAGGAGUGAGCUCGCUCUGCCUAUUUGCAAUGGUUGUACGCAUUAGUACCUGGGAAAGUCUUGCGCAGAAAGAGUACAAGCCCAGACACAAUAAGAUAACCCAACACCUUUACUGGCUACUAUGCCGGAUGUAUGAAUACUAGUUAAUAGGUGUUUGAUACCAACAUAGACCAGAAAAGGUAAUGGGCUUAAAUAAAGCAAAAAUCCUCUGGGGCUUUGACUUCGAGACAGACAAUGUGUUAGAGCACUGAAGGCCGCAUGUAGUUACCUUUAGGAGGAAGGAACGAGUGUAUCUAAUAAUCGACGUGACAUAUUAUCGUGAAAGAAACAGAAAAUAUUAAUAAAUAUCGGGACCUACGAAUUCAGAUCGUUAAGAUUUAGCAGCUACGAGAGUCAAUCAUAAAGGUUGUCCCUAUUGUCAUCGGAGCAAUUGGUUCAAUACCAUCCAACCUGAAAAAACAUCUGGAUACUUCAAAAAUGCGCCACCAAUCUAGGUGUAUUGGAAAAAUUGGCGUUACUUGGAAGUGCACGCAUAUUGCGUAAAGUACUGUCUGUUUGAGCUCCUUAUGACUUGACAGAUAGUACAACCCCCGGUACACACACUAUCUUUAAUCAGCAACAUCCUGAUAUAGGAUACUGUGCAACGUCUUAAAUAAAAAUAAAAAUAAUAAUAAUAAUAAUAAUAAUAA